ensembl:lncRNA
CUAAUUAUUAAGGGGCGCUUUGCUAGUGCUUUUGGUGCACAAAGGCAGAAGGGGGUUGGACUAAAUGGCCCAAGGAGUCUCUUCCAACCCUCAUUAUUAUUUAUUAUUAUUAUUAUUAUUAUUGACACAAAGCCACACUGUAUAACACAGCAAACGAGAUGUAUAUGCUGGAUUUCAUAUCACAAAAUCACAAGUCAAACACUUCCCAAGUGUUUAGGACUGUGUGAUGUGUUGGUGUUGUUGUUGUUAUUAUUAACAUUGAGGCUGGGUGGCCAUCUGUCAGGGGUGCUUUACUUGCACUUUUGGUGCACAAAGGUGGAAGGGGGUUGGACUAAAUGGCCCAAGGGGUGUCUUCCAACCAUCUUUAUUAUUUUUAUUAUGAUUAUUAGUAACAUUGAGGCUGUAUUUGUUCCCGUUUUGUUUUUGUUUGUUUUUUUACUUCAAAAUAAGAUAUGUGCAGUGUGCAUAGGAAUUUGUUCGUAUUUUUUUUCAAAUGAUCAUUCGGCCCCUCAACAGUCUGAAGGAUUGUGGACCGGCCCUCUGCUUAAAAAGUUUGGGGACCCCUGCCAUAAAUAAUAAAACUUUUUAAAGGACAUGUUUUUAAAAGUAUUACAAAUAACCACAAUAAUAAUGUACUAGUUUGGUGUAAUAUUACAUACAUUACAUUUUAAUUUCUUGUCCCUCUGUUCCUGGGCUAAUAUACAGAGCAAAAAAAAUAUUCACAUCUGUAAUAGUAAAGUAUUAGCUUUAGCAAAUCAGGCUGUUUCACAAACAGCUACCUCCGUUGUUUCUAAAUGGAUCACGUAUAAUUACUUUACAUUAAGGAACUGUGUGUUUACCAUUUGUCUAUGUCAGUCCUAAAUGCUUUACACUAUAUAAGGAAAAAAACAGCUCAUCAAUUCUAAAGAUUCACACACACACAAGGUAUUUCCUGAACGUGAUACAAGGAGCUCAAGUUGUAAGACCAGGCAUGGAGCAAACUUUGGGCCUCCAGCAGGUUGUUAGGAUUUGUGGAAGUUGAAGUCCAAAACACCUGGAGGGCCGAAAUUUGCCCAUGCCUGUGGAAGACCAUCUAUAUUUGCCACAAUAAAGCUUAGGGAUUAGUUACUCCACAUGGUUAUAAUGGCUCUUGGGUUCUGUUACCAGGUUUCAUGACCUCAACCACUGGGCAACCAAUGCUGUGAUUAGCAAAAGUGUUUUUCAUUGUUGUUAUUAUUUUUUUAGUUCUUCCCUCAUUUAUCUUAAUUAUAAUGCUACCAGGAUACCUUGAAGAAAUCUAGCAAAAACUGGUUGAGCAAGGAUUCUAGGGUCAGUGGCAUACAUCCAAAUUCGGCACAGUACAACACCCAAAUCUGUAAGAGAUAUGAUACUGAAAUUACCAUGGAAACAGAAAACAUUUAGAGCAGAUCUUUGAUCCUUGAGAUAGACAGACAGACAGACAGACAGACAGAUAUAAAAUAUAAACCCUAUAUACUGAUAUACAUUGGUUCUCAACCCAGAUGUUUUGGCCUUCAACACCCAGAAAUCCUAACAGCUGGUAAACUGGUUGUGAUUUCUGGGAGUUGUAGGCCAAAAACAUCUGGGGACCCACAGGUUGAGAACCACUGGUCUAGACAUUUCGGUCAAAAAAAUCAACCCAAACCCUGGGUAAACAGUAGAAGGGCCAAUACUUAUAUUUAUGUGGCAAUAAGGGACUUACUUCAAGAAAAGUGAUGGACUAAAGCCAUAAGAUGAACAAAGAGGCAUUAAGACAAUGGCAACGAGAUUGCCAAUAAAUGAGUGGAGAAAUAUACAGACUCACAGAAGAGAAGAGACCAUUUGCUUUAAGUUAUGCAAAGUUUACACUUCAUCUACUUGACUCAAGCCGCGUUAUCUCUUGAAGGCAAGGAAGCAGUGAUAACAUAGGAACAGUUCUGCGCUCUUAUUCCUACAGUUUCUUGUUUUGUUUUUCUGCCAGCUGACAUUCAAAAACAAGAUGCCAGUGCCCACACUUGCAUAGCCAGUGGCUCUAAGGAAUGGAAGCAACGAGGGAAGAGUAAAUUAUUACAUAAAAUAAAGGUUAAUGUUCAAAAAGGGAGCAUCGCUCCAAGCCAAAGCUAUAGCAAUCACAACUGUGUGCAUGUAUGAUUUAUUUGUAAAUGUUCCUCUUUUAAACUAACAGCCGAAUCCUUCGCAGCAAUAAGAUGUCUCCCACAUUCAAGUCGUUUUUUAAAGCCCAACAUUUAAUUAUGAAUUCAGCACCUGCACUUAAUGAUGAUUAGUAGCAUCAUGAUGAGACUCUAAAACUGUGAUUCAUCAAUGAGCAUUUAGAAUUGAAUAAAU